AUUGAACGCUGGCGGCAGGCCUAACACAUGCAAGUCGAACGAGUGGAGGAGGGGGGUGAAAUGUCUGGGAAAAUGCCCGAAGGAGGGGGGAAAAUACGGGAAAAGGUAGCUAAAACCGCGUACGAUCGGAGGUGCCCAGCUGGGAUUAGCUGGUAGGGGGGGUAACGGCUCACCUAGGCGACGAUCACUAGCUGGUCUUAGAGGAUGACCAGCCACACUGGAACGGAGACACGGUCCAGACUCCUACGGGAGGCAGCAGUGGGGAAUAUUGCACAAUGGGCGCAAGCCUGAUGCAGCCAUGCCGAGUGUAUGAAGACGGCCUGCGGGUUGUAAAGUACUUUCAGCGGGGAGGCGUUACUCGCAGAAGAAGCACCGGCUAACUCCGUGCCAGCAGCCGCGGUAAUAC
rnacentral:rRNA from 1 species